rnacentral:miRNA from 1 species
UUGCGAUUUUUGUUUGUGCUU